rnacentral:lncRNA from 1 species
GGAUUAAUCUAAGCUUCUGCUGUGUAUGGACCUGUGGCUACAUUACAAAAUUCAGUUGUGAAGCUAUAAAAUCAAUUAGUCUAGACCUCAAAUCUUAUUUCCUAUGAAAAGGCUCAAACUUGUAGCUGUAUGAACAAGUGUUUUUGGAAUUUUUUUUUUUUUUUUUGCUAGAAUGGAGAGAACACACUGGAGAUCACAAAUGCAUUUAUUCUUUUUCACCAACUGUUUCAUUGGCCUUAAAAAAUACUAGGCUAAACUUAAGUGGUAAAGAUCUGAAAUAAAAAGAUUCAUCUUUAUGUCUGAACAGCAAUUUUUCAUAGGUCUCUAAUAUCUUGCAUUUCCUUAUCUAUGGAUAAGGAGAUCUGAAAUUGAUCUACAUUUUCUUUAGUAAUGUUUUCUCUGUUUAUUGAGAACAGAUAUCUUCAUCUCCUUCAUGCAUUAUCCUUAGUAACAGAUGUCAGUAGGAUCCAGAGCCAUUUUGGAACUUUACCAAGGAUUAAGGAUGAGCACAGAUCACAUCAAGAGUCUAAAUAUCACUUUGGAGGCUAUGUGCAGAUCAGAUUUGGAAGUGACCAAGACUGGAGGCAGGGACACCAGAGUUUUCUGUUAAAAACUGGUCCAUGCAAGAAAAGAUGACUCCUGAAAUAAGACAGUGAUCAUUAGGAUGAAGAGGAAGAGAAGAUUUGAGGAAUACUUAGAACAGAAUUUACUGAAUUUACUGGUUGAAUUGAAUGUGAAGAGGAGAUGAAUAAAGAAGAAAACACCCUCAAAGGGAACCCUGAGCAGAACACAUGCACAAACUCAUGCCAUACCCUAAGGGACAAGGUUCCCCACAUCUACUUGGAAAUCUUCGGGAUGCUCAAUGGAGAAAAACAAGGAGAGAAAAAUCUAAACCCAGCAGAAGAGAAAGUUUAAGAAAGCGGUCGUCGCCAAUACCAAAAUUAGCUAUGAUAUUCAGGAAGAAAAAAAUGGAAACACGAUAACCACAUUCAAUAAAGACCAAGGCCGGAUUCCAUUGGCCAGAGCUCAGCCACGCGCCACACCUGGCUAAAGAGACUCUGGCUGAAGAAUUCCCUGAAUAUUUUAAUGUAGCUCUAGGUUAUAACACAGAACAACCACAAGGUGGCAGAAGAACUCCAUUCUUGUAAAUCUCUUAGUUGCUUCUUUAUUUCAUCUUCCCUAUUCCAUCUAAUGUUCCCUGAAUUUUACUAUUUUGUUGGUUUGAAAAUAUGUGUGACUUACGUCCUUUAAAGGAUUUGGUUCCUAAGGUUUUGAAUAGACUGGAAUAUAAAACAUUUAUAGAAAAGAAAAAUACCUACAGUAUGAUGUUAGUGAACUAUUAAUAAUUAAUCCAAUUAAAUAAAAUAUAUUUGCUUUGGAUUAAUACA